rnacentral:rRNA from 1 species
CAGUAGCCGCGUGAAUACGAAGGGUGCAAGCGUUAAUCGGAAUUACUGGGCGUAAAGCGUGCGUAGGCGGUGAGUUAAGUCUGCUGUGAAAUCCCCGGGCUCAACCUGGGAAUGGCAGUGGAUACUGGCUCGCUAGAGUGUGUCAGAGGAUGGUGGAAUUCCCGGUGUAGCGGUGAAAUGCGUAGAGAUCGGGAGGAACAUCAGUGGCGAAGGCGGCCAUCUGGGACAACACUGACGCUGAGGCACGAAAGCGUGGGGAGCAAACAGGAUUAGAUACCCCAGUAGUCCCUGUCUCUUAUAC